UGUUCUUGGUGUUCUGUGUAUCUCUGUGCCUGUCUCCACAAGGGGCAUCCAGGGACCAACUUUGAGAACCUGCCCUUGUUCCCCUGGCUUUUGGGGAAACAUCCUCCAGCCAUCCCGGAGGAUAGGGCAGGAUGAAGUGCCAGCAGCAGCAGAGAAGAGACUGCAUUAGGAGUAACUGCUCCCCCACCACCAGGUGAGGGACUCUGUUGGGUCCUGCAUACGAAUGGAACCACUGAUGCCAGCUGGUCUGAAGGACCCCACAGGAGCUGACUCACCGAAGAACACAGCUUGUACACCCUGAUGGUUUCAUCCUCCUUAUCCUGACCAAUCAACAACCUCAAUCUUCUAUCCCUCACCCUCCACAAUCUCCUUAAAAACCCCAGCUCAGAACUCCUCCGGAAGAUGGGUUUGGGGGUCUCCACUCAUCCCUUGCUCCAUCCCUGUGAUCAUUAAACUCUUUCUCUGCUACAAA